ACAAUCACCACCACCACUACAACAAAGCUACACACUUCUAUAGUUACAGGUAGACUCUUGAUUAUUAACAGCUAAAAAAACAAAAAAGGUUAAAAUACAGAUCUUUCAUGUCAGGAAUAUGAUGUUAUGCCUAUUGAAUUUGAACAUCUAGUCUGGCAUUAGAAACAGGAACAGGCUCAAGCAUUUUGCUGCCUGAGGCAAAG